rnacentral:rRNA from 1 species
UACGGGGGGAGCAAGCGUUGUUCGGAUUUACUGGGCGUAAAGGGCGCGUAGGCGGUCAGCACAAGUCAGUUGUGAAAUCUCCGGGGCUUAACUCGGAAAGGUCAACUGAUACUGUGCGACUAGAGUGCAGAAGGGGCAACUGGAGUUCUCGGUGUAGCGGUGAAAUGCGUAGAUAUCGAGAGGAACACCUGCGGCGAAGGCGGGUGCUGGGCUGACACUGACGCUGAUGCGCGAAAGCUAGGGGAGCGAACGGG